GACGAACGCUGGCGGCGUGCUUAACACAUGCAAGUCGAACGGAAAGGCCCUGCUUUUGUGGGGUGCUCGAGUGGCGAACGGGUGAGUAGCACGUGAGUAACCUGCCCUUGACUUUGGGAUAACUUCAGGAAACUGGGGCUAAUACCGGAUAGGAGCUCCUGCUGCAUGGUGGGGGUUGGAAAGUUUCGGCGGUUGGGGAUGGACUCGCGGCUUAUCAGCUUGUUGGUGGGGUAGUGGCUUACCAAGGCUUUGACGGGUAGCCGGUCUGAGAGGGUGACCGGCCACAUUGGGACUGAGAUACGGCCCAGACUCCUACGGGAGGCAGCAGUGGGGAGUAUUGCACAAUGGGCGGAAGCCUGAUGCAGCAACGCCGCGUGCGGGAUGACGGCCUUCGGGUUGUAAACCGCUUUCGCCUGUGACGAAGCGUGAGUGACGGUAAUGGGUAAAGAAGCACCGGCUAACUACGUG
rnacentral:rRNA from 1 species